UACGUAGGGUGCGAGCGUUGUCCGGGAAUUAUUGGGCGUAAAGAGCUCGUUAGGCGGUUUGUCGCGUCUGCUGUGAAAACGCGAGGCUCAACCUCGCGCCUGCAGUGGGUACGGGCAGACUAGAGUGCGGUAGGGGAGAUUGGAAUUCCUGGUGUAGCGGUGGAAUGCGCAGAUAUCAGGAGGAACACCGAUGGCGAAGGCAGAUCUCUGGGCCGUAACUGACGCUGGAGGAGCGAAAGCGUGGGGAGCGAACAGG
rnacentral:rRNA from 1 species